rnacentral:rRNA from 1 species
GGGAGGCAGCAGUGGGGAAUAUUGCACAAUGGGCGGAAGCCUGAUGCAGCAACGCCGCGUGAGGGAUGACGGCCUUCGGGUUGUAAACCUCUUUUAGCAGGGAAGAAGCGGAAGUGACGGUACCUGCAGAAAAAGCGCCGGCUAACUACGUGCCAGCAGCCGCGGUAAUACGUAGGGCGCAAGCGUUAUCCGGAAUUAUUGGGCGUAAAGAGCUCGUAGGCGGUUUGUCGCGUCUGCUGUGAAAUCUGGGGGCUCAACCCCCAGCCUGCAGUGGGUACGGGCAGACUAGAGUGCGGUAGGGGAGAUUGGAAUUCCUGGUGUAGCGGUGGAAUGCGCAGAUAUCAGGAGGAACACCGAUGGCGAAGGCAGAUCUCUGGGCCGUAACUGACGCUGAGGAGCGAAAGGGUGGGGAGCAAACAGGCUUAGAUACCCUGGUAGUCCACCCCGUAAACGUUGGGAACUAGUUGUGGGGUCCAUUCCACGGAUUCCGUGACGCAGCUAACGCAUUAAGUUCCCCGCCUGGGGAGUACGGCCGC